UCAGUCCGAUUCAAGAUUGUCAAGGUACCAGUUCUAUUCACAAAGGCUGCUUAGAGUCUAACAGACUUUCUAGGAUAUUAUUAAAUGAUAUCAUAUUAAGAAAGUGGUCACAUAUAGAACCUAUUUUAUUAUUAUUCAGAGAAAGAUAAAUAAGACUAAAAUCAAAUUAGAUACAGAUUGGAUAUCAGCAUAUUCAUAUCUAUAUUUGUUUUAUCUAACAAAUACAAAUACGGGUAUGGAUGUUAAUCGGAUGCAAAAAAAAUCAUAGCUAUUGCCAUCGAGAAGAUGAUUUGGCUCAGACCGCUGAGUUGGAGCAGGGGAGAA
rnacentral:lncRNA from 1 species